AGAACGAACGCUGGCGGCAGGCCUAAUACAUGCAAGUCGAACGCACUCUUCGGAGUGAGUGGCAGACGGGUGAGUAACGCGUGGGAACCUUCCCAAUGGUACGGAAUAACUCCGGGAAACCGGUGCUAAUACCGUAUAAGCCCCUCGGGGGAAAGAUUUAUCGCCGAAAGAUUGGCCCGCGUCUGAUUAGCUAGUUGGCGGUGUAAUGGACCACCAAGGCGACGAUCAGUAGCUGGUCUGAGAGGAUGAUCAGCCACAUUGGGACUGAGACACGGCCCAAACUCCUACGGGAGGCAGCAGUGGGGAAUAUUGGACAAUGGGCGCAAGCCUGAUCCAGCCAUGCCGCGUGAGUGAUGAAGGCCUUAGGGUUGUAAAGCUCUUUCGACGGGGACGAUAAUGACGGUACCCGUAGAAGAAGCCCGGCUAACUUCGUGCCAGCAGCCGC
rnacentral:rRNA from 1 species